GACGAACGCUGGCGGCGUGCUUAACACAUGCAAGUCGAACGCUGAGGCCCACCUUUUGUUUGGUCGAGGAGUGAAGAGGGGGGUAAUACGACGGUAGUAACCUGCCGCCUUCUUUGUGAUAACGCGCAACAACGGGUACUAAUACUUAAUAUCUCCUGGUGUUUGCAUGGGGGUGGGUGGAUAGGGUGUUUGCGGUUGGGGAUGGGCUCGCUGCUCAUCAGCUUGUUGGUGGGGUAGUGGAUGACCAAGGCUGUGACGGGUAGCCGGCCUGGGAAGGUGACCGGCCACAUUGGGACUGGGAUACGGCCCAGACUCCUACGGGAGGCAGCAGUGGGGAAUAUUGCAGAAUGGGCGGAAGCCUGAUGCAGCAACGCCGCGUGCGGGAUGACGGCCUUCGGGUUGUAAACCGCUUUCGCCUGUGACGAAGCGUGAGUGACGGUAAUGGGUAAAGAAGCACCGGCUAACUACGUG
rnacentral:rRNA from 1 species